UACGUAGGGUGCAAGCGUUGUCCGGAAUUAUUGGGCGUAAAGAGCUCGUAGGCGGUGUGUCGCGUCGGCCGUGAAAACCUGGGGCUCAACUCUGGGCGUGCGGUCGAUACGGGCAUCACUUGAGUUCGGCAGGGGAGACUGGAAUUCCUGGUGUAGCGGUGAAAUGCGCAGAUAUCAGGAGGAACACCGGUGGCGAAGGCGGGUCUCUGGGCCGAAACUGACGCUGAGGAGCGAAAGCGUGGGGAGCGAACAGG
rnacentral:rRNA from 1 species